UGGGGAAUAUUGGACAAUGGGGGCAACCCUGAUCCAGCCAUGCCGCGUGAGUGAUGAAGGCCUUCGGGUUGUAAAGCUCUUUUGGCGGGGACGAUGAUUACGGUACCCGCAGAAUAAGCCCCGGCUAACUUCGUGCCAGCAGCCGCGGUAAGACGAAGGGGGCAAGCGUUGUUCGGAAUUACUGGGCGUAAAGGGCGCGUAGGCGGUUUGCUUAGUCAGGCGUGAAAGCCCUGGGCUUAACCUGGGAUGUGCGCUUGAUACUGGCAGGCUUGAGUUUGGGAGAGGUUGGUGGAAUUCCCAGUGUAGAGGUGAAAUUCGUAGAUAUUGGGCAGAACACCGGUGGCGAAGGCGGCCAACUGGACCACAACUGACGCUGAGGCGCGAAAGCGUGGGGAGCAAACA
rnacentral:rRNA from 1 species